GACAGAGGGUGCAAACGUUGUUCGGAAUUACUGGGCGUAAAGCGCGUGUAGGCUGCUGCGCAAGUCGGAUGUGAAAUCCCACGGCUCAACCAUGGAAGUGCAUUCGAAACUGCGUAGCUAGAGUUUUGGAGAGGAAGGCGGAAUACUCGGUGUAGAGGUGAAAUUCGUAGAUAUCGAGUGGAACACCCGUGGCGAAGGCGGCUCUCUGGGACGGUACUGACGCUGAGACGCGAAAGCGUGGGGAGCGAACAGG
rnacentral:rRNA from 1 species